rnacentral:rRNA from 1 species
CGAACGGGUGAGUAACACGUGGGCAAUCUGCCCAAAAGAGGGGGAUAACACUUGGAAACAGGUGCUAAUACCGCAUAACCAUAGUUACCGCAUGGUAACUAUGUAAAAGGUGGCUAUGCUACCGCUUUUGGAUGGGCCCGCGGCGCAUUAGCUAGUUGGUGGGGUAAAGGCUUACCAAGGCAAUGAUGCGUAGCCGAACUGAGAGGUUGAUCGGCCACAUUGGGACUGAGACACGGCCCAAACUCCUACGGGAGGCAGCAG